rnacentral:rRNA from 1 species
GCGAACGCUGGCGGCAGGCCUAACACAUGCAAGUCGAACGAACCCUUCGGGGUUAGUGGCGGACGGGUGAGUAACACGUGGGAACGUACCUUUAGGUUCGGAACAACACAGGGAAACUUGUGCUAAUGCCGAAUGUGCCCUUCGGGGGAAAGAUUUAUCGCCUUUAGAGCGGCCCGCGUCUGAUUAGCUUGUUGGUGAGGUAAAGGCUCACCAAGGCUUCGAUCAGUAGCUGGUCUGAGAGGAUGAUCAGCCACACUGGGACUGAGACACGGCCCAGACUCCUACGGGAGGCAGCAGUGGGGAAUCUUGCGCAAUGGGCGAAAGCCUGACGCAGCCAUGCCGCGUGAAUGAAGAAGGCCUGCGGGUUGUAAAGCCCUUUCGACGGGGAGGAAGGCACCGGCGCGAAUAGCGUUGGUGAUUGACGUAACCUGGAGAAGAAGCACCGGCUAACUCCGU